GUCCAGGUCCUAUGCAAGGAACCCCUUCUGAACUCCGCCAGAUCCGGAAGGAAGCAACGGCAGGAAGACGGUUUUUGUGCCGUAGUGUACCUGGGCUUC
rnacentral:SRP_RNA from 1 species